CGAAGAGGGAGGGCCAGGCCAGGCUGCAACAAAUGCGGCCGCGAGCGCGGGCAACGCUAGUACACGCGCACCCCCGGAGGGCCCCGCUCGAGAAACAACAGCACAGCAGCACGCACCGGAUCACCGACCCGCGGAUCGCGUCGGAUCGGGGAACCUCACCGUGUGUGACGCAUCCGCAUGGCGAGCGCCACCGGCACGCGCGCGGGCGCGGCGCACCUGCCGGGACCGGGAUCCUCUGCCACCUCCUCCCUUGCCGCUUGCGGGCGGCCGGCCCCGCGAGCCGCUGCCGCCUCCAUCCCUCGCCUAUUUUGUGCGUCCACGGCGAGCCCGCCCCAACGUCCCUUUCCUGCGUCGGAGUCGGACAGUGCAGGCGAUAAUACCGGUGUUGAAGAGAAGACGGCUGACAACGUAUAACUGAUAAGUGUUUCAACUACACCAUCAUGGGCUAACCGAGCUAUGGUGCACUAAGGUGUUUGAUUCAUGACAAUCUCCACAUUAACAUGUGGGUUAAUGGACUUCAUUGUAUAAAAUUGGAGUUAGCAUAUCAAAAUUAAUACUAAUUAUUUCUCAACGUA